AGUGAACGCUGGCGGCGUGCCUAAUACAUGCAAGUCGAACGGCGUGGCACACGGGCGAGUAAUGUAUAGCUAAACUGCCCUACACUAGAGGACAACAGUUGGCAACGGCUACUAAUACUAUAUAGUGUAGGAUGAGUCUAUAUUGUAUCAGCUAGUUGGUUAGGUAAUGGCUCACCACGGCUAUGACGCUUAACUGGUCUGAGAGGAUGAUCAGUCACACUGGAACGUAGACACGGUCCAGACUCUGACGGGAGGCAGCAGGUGGGAAUAUUGCUCAAUGGGGGAAGCCCUGAAGCAGCAGCGCCGCGUGGAGGAUGACACUUUUCGGAGCGUAAACUCCUUUUGUUAGGGAAGCGGUUCCUAUCGAAUAAGCAGCGGCGAACUCCGUGCCAGCAGCCGCGGUGGUAAUAC
rnacentral:rRNA from 1 species